GGCGGCAGACCUAACACAUGCAAGUCGAGCGGCAACGGGAAGAAGUUUACUUCCUUGCUGGCAAGCGGCGCACGGGUGAGUAAUAUCUGGGGAUCUGCCCAAUGGAGGGGGAUAACUACUGGAAACGGUAGCUAAUACCGCAUAAUGUCGUAAGACCAAAGUGAGGGACCUGCUUUUUUUUAGGCCUCAUGCCAUCGGAUGAACUCAGAUGGGAUUAGCUAGUAGGUGAGGUAAAGGCUCACCUAGGCAACGAUCCCUAGCUGGUCUGAGAGGAUGACCAGCCACACUGGAACUGAGACACGGUCCAGACUCCUACGGGAGGCAGCAGUGGGGAAUAUUGCACAAUGGGGGAAACCCUGAUGCAGUCAUGCCGCGUGUGUGAAGAAGGCCUUCGGGUUGUAAAGCACUUUCAGUAGGGAAGAAGUUAAUAAUGUUAAUAGUAUUAUUAAUUGACGUUACCUACAGUAAGAAGCACCGGCUAACUCCGUGCCAGCAGCCGCGGUAAUACGGAGGGUGCGAGCGUUAAUCGGAAUUACUGGGCGUAAAGAGUACGUAGGCGGUUUGUCAAGUCAGAUGUGAAAGCCCUGGGCUUAACCUAGGAACGGUGUUUGAAACUGACAAACUAGAGUUUCGUAGAGGGGGGUAGAAUUCCAGGUGUAGCGGUGAGAUGCGUAGAGAUCUGGAGGAAUAUCAGUGGCGAAGGCGGCCCCCUGGACGAAAACUGACGCUCAGGUACGAAAGCAUGGGGAGCAAACAGGAUUAGAUACCCUGGUAGUCCAUGCCGUAAACGAUGUCGAUUUGAAGGCUGUGGCCUUUGAGCUGUGGCUUUCGAAGCUAACGCGUUAAGUCGACCGCCUGGGGAGUACGACCGCAAGGUUAAAACUCAAAUGAAUUGACGGGGGCCCGCACAAGCGGUGGAGCAUGUGGUUUAAUUCGAUGCAACGCGAAGAACCUUACCUACUCUUGACAUCCAGAGAAUUUGGCAGAAAUGCCUUAGUACCUUCGGGAACUCUGAGACAGGUGCUGCAUGGCUGUCGUCAGCUCGUGUUGUGAAAUGUUGGGUUAAGUCCCGCAACGAGCGCAACCCUUGCCCUUUGUUGCCAGCGAUACGGUCGGGAACUCAAAGGAGACUGCCGGUGAUAAACCGGAGGAAGGUGGGGACGACGUCAAGUCAUCAUGGCCCUUACGAGUAGGGCUACACACGUGCUACAAUGGUGCAUACAAAGAGAAGCAACCUCGCGAGAAUUAGCAAAUCUCAUCAAAGUGCAUCGUAGUCCGGAUUGGAGUCUGCAACUCGACUCCAUGAAGUCGGAAUCGCUAGUAAUCGUGUAUCAGAAUGUCACGGUGAAUACGUUCCCGGGCCUUGUACACACCGCCCGUCACACCAUGGGAGUGGAUUGCAAAAGAAGUAAGUAGCUUAACCGUCUUCGGAGGGCGCUUACCACUUUGUGAUUCAUGACUGGGGUG
rnacentral:rRNA from 1 species